rnacentral:rRNA from 1 species
CUGGUGAUCCUGCCGGCGGCCCGCUAUUGGAAUACGCUUAAGCCAUGCGAGUCGAGAGGGUUCGGCCCUCGGCGCACCCUCAGUAACACGCGGAUAAUCCGCCCUUGGAUCGGGGAUAGCUCGCGAAAGUGAGUAUAAUACCCGAUAGGUCUCGAAUGCUUGGAAAUGCUUUGAGGUCGAAAGUUGCGGCGUCCAAAGGAUGAGUCUGCGGGCCUAAUCAGGGUUGUAGUGGGGGUAAAGGCCCCACUAACCUAUUACGGGUACGGGUUCUUGGGAGAGAUCGCCCGGAGAUGGGUUCUGAGACAUGAACCCAGGCCCUACGGGGGGCAGAAGGGGCGGAAAACUUCCGCACUGUGGGAAACCCACGACGAGGGUAUUUCCAGGGGCUUAAUACUAAGUAUAAGCU